rnacentral:rRNA from 1 species
AUGAACGCUAGCUACAGGCUUAACACAUGCAAGUCGAGGGGCAGCAUGAACUUAGCUUGCUAAGUUUGAUGGCGACCGGCGCACGGGUGAGUAACACGUAUCCAACCUGCCGAUGACUCGGGGAUAGCCUUUCGAAAGAAAGAUUAAUACCCGAUGGCAUAGUUCUUCCGCAUGGUAGAACUAUUAAAGAAUUUCGGUCAUCGAUGGGGAUGCGUUCCAUUAGGUUGUUGGCGGGGUAACGGCCCACCAAGCCUUCGAUGGAUAGGGGUUCUGAGAGGAAGGUCCCCCACAUUGGAACUGAGACACGGUCCAAACUCCUACGGGAGGCAGCAGUGAGGAAUAUUGGUCAAUGGACGAGAGUCUGAACCAGCCAAGUAGCGUGAAGGAUGACUGCCCUAUGGGUUGUAAACUUCUUUUAUACGGGAAUAAAGUGAGGCACGUGUGCCUUUUUGUAUGUACCGUAUGAAUAAGGAUCGGCUAACUCCGUGCCAGCAGCCGCGGUAAUACGGAGGAUCCGAGCGUUAUCCGGAUUUAUUGGGUUUAAAGGGAGCGUAGGCGGACGCUUAAGUCAGUUGUGAAAGUUUGCGGCUCAACCGUAAAAUUGCAGUUGAUACUGGGUGUCUUGAGUACAGUAGAGGCAGGCGGAAUUCGUGGUGUAGCGGUGAAAUGCUUAGAUAUCACGAAGAACUCCGAUUGCGAAGGCAGCCUGCUGGACUGUAACUGACGCUGAUGCUCGAAAGUGUGGGUAUCAAACAGGAUUAGAUACCCUGGUAGUCCACACAGUAAACGAUGAAUACUCGCUGUUUGCGAUAUACAGUAAGCGGCCAAGCGAAAGCGUUAAGUAUUCCACCUGGGGAGUACGCCGGCAACGGUGAAACUCAAAGGAAUUGACGGGGGCCCGCACAAGCGGUGGAGUAUGUGGUUUAAUUCGAAGCAACGCGAAGAACCUUACCAGGCCUUGACAUCCCUUGCAGAGGUAUAGAGAUAUAUCCGAGGUUAUCAAGGAGACAGGUGGUGCAUGGUUGUCGUCAGCUCGUGCCGUGAGGUGUCGGCUUAAGUGCCAUAACGAGCGCAACCCUUAUCGAUAGUUACCAUCAGGUUAUGCUGGGGACUCUGUCGAGACUGCCGUCGUAAGAUGUGAGGAAGGUGGGGAUGACGUCAAAUCAGCACGGCCCUUACGUCCGGGGCUACACACGUGUUACAAUGGGGGGUACAGAAGGCAGCUAGCGGGUGACCGUAUGCUAAUCCCAAAAUCCUCUCUCAGUUCGGAUCGAAGUCUGCAACCCGACUUCGUGAAGCUGGAUUCGCUAGUAAUCGCGCAUCAGCCACGGCGCGGUGAAUACGUUCCCGGGCCUUGUACACACCGCCCGUCACACCAUGAGAGCCGUCAAUACCCGAAGUCCGUAGCCUAACCGCAAGGAGGGCGCGGCCGAAGGUAGGGGUGGUAAUUAGGGUG